rnacentral:rRNA from 1 species
UACGAGGGAUCCUAGCGUUGUCCGGAAUCACUGGGCGUAAAGGGCGCGUAGGCGGCUCAUGAAGGCUGUGGUGAAAGUCCGGGGCUCAACCUCGGAUCGGCCGUGGCGACUCGUGGGCUGGAGCACUGUAGAGGCGGGUGGAAUUCCGGGUGUAGCGGUGGAAUGCGUAGAGAUCCGGGAAGAACACCAGUGGCGAAGGCGGCC